CAGAAGGUUCACUGGCAAUGUGUUGUGAGGUAAUCUCACCAUGGAGGAAGCACGAGGUUGACUAAUGACUGAUACUUUUGCAGAUUUCAGAGUGUGCGUGCAGCUGUAACCUGCAGCCUUUUUUUGAUUCAUGAAAGCCAUUUCAACUGUACAUUGCAUUUCCACAUGAAAUACUGCCUGCCUAACAUGUUCAGGGUGAGCAAUCCAUUAUUUUUGCAUAAAAGCAUUCACCUUAGCUAAGAAGUGUGUAGGAAAAAACCUUGCAUAUAACUGAGGAGUUAAUAAUGAAAAAGCCAUUGGUGUAAUUCUAGACGAUUUGUUUUUACUUGCCUUCCUUUUGCCUUCCUUUCUCAGUUUGUAUUUUGCACAGACCAAGAGGGCAUAAUGAGUUGAACAUCCCAUUGCCUACUUGUCAGUUUGAAACUAAGCAGGAGUUAUUUGAGAAAGGGAAAUGAAACUUUACUCAAGAGCUAGAUCUGUCCAAACCUUGGUUACUAACAAGCCAGUCAUUGCCUGAGAAUAGGAAGAAUAAUAAGAAAGAGAGAAGUAAAUCCAGUAGCGUUUUGAUGUUAAAUAAUAAUAAUAAUAACAAUUCCCAAAUUCUUAAAAUGCUCUUGACGUGAUGAAGACUCUGAAAGAAGGAGCUCUUCACUUAUUUUGUUUGCCUGCAUAUGUAACCCAAGAAAGAUCGUUCUGUAUUUUCUUCCAUUUUAACUGAUACCAGGCUGAAGGACUACUCUGUAAAAGCAGAAACAAACUGCAGGUGUUUCCCUCUCUUAGGAAGAUUGCUUUUAGAGUAUCUACAGGUAUUUUCAGUAAUGGUUAAACUCUCAUGUAGUCAUACCAGGUGGUGACAGUGCACAAUGAUGCUUAGGCUAAAGUAGUGAGCUAAGUUAAAAUAGUAGGCCUCUGAGGACAGCGACGUACUGUGAGAUUUUGUUGAUCCAUGUACCCCAACUGUUUCCUCCUUAGACUUUUUAGUGGUAUCAGCUGUCUCUGACAGGGUUCAUCAGUGCGUGGAGAAAGGGCAAGCAUCACGGUUAGUAGAAAAGACUCUGUAAUUACUUCAUUUCAUUCCAGCUAUGUGUCUAAAGAGAAAUCUGUGUAAUUUCAUUCACUUGUGCUUAGCUGUGCUUGAUUCUUAUUAAGGAACUCUGUGAAGAGAAUUGAAACAAUCUGGUGGCAUUGCUGUUAUUUCCUACUGCCAUUUUCACCUUUGGGUGACUUAAAAUUAAGAGUCUCUCAAGUCAGACACCACAAUUAUUUUAUCUCCUAAGAAUUUAUAUUCAAUAGAUGUAAUCCUAAGACUGGGGUCAAGGAACAAUGUUUUGUGUGUGUUGCUACACUGGAACACGUUUAUUAAAUGAAUGUUUACUGGCUUCUUAAAGACUUAAUUAGCAGAUUGUUGGCAGGUUCUGUGGAUUUCUGCCUUCACUUAAAGACUGCAGUAUGGCUUUAGCAAAGUUGCUCAUCAUGUUUUUAAUGUAAUUCUUGAAAAACAGAAAGUGAACAUGCUGUUUUUGUUGAAGAAGAAAUAUUUUGCCAAGACACAUCAAUACUAAAAAAGCCUUGCAGGAGUGCCUCUGAAGUCCAGCCAGGGCUUACCAGCUGUGUCCUACCAGUGCUGGGGCUGCCUCCUGUCCUGGGCGAGAGCUGGGAGGACACCAUCUCCCCUAUCACGUCCUGCUUUUCAUGAGGAUGGAGCACAGGAAGAAGCCGCCACAUGCACUGGUCAGGUACUGAUUGGGCACUGUACACCACGGCGCUGCAGCCACUGCCUGCACCCCCGACCUGUAGACACAGUUUGUUUCAGACUGACAGAAAGGAAGGGAAGGACAGGCAUAAAGCCACAGUCUUCUGAUUUCCACAGAAAACUGUUGUGCUGACAGAAGUUUCCUUUGCAAAAUGCCCAAAGAGGUUUUAUUUUCAUUUUUGGUUGUGUGAAAUGAAAGCAGGCUUUUCUCCAAAAAUUGCGAAGUGGAUCUGUUGCUCUCCAAGCUUGCUCUCCGGCUCAGAGGAAACAUUUGCUCACUAAGCCUGAGUGCCACUGGCAGUAACAAUGCAAAAGAAACAAUGUGUGCCUCCCAUAUCAGUGAUCUGCUGUCCCCAGUCUCGUCUUGGCAUACCAAUGGCUACACAGGGAUCUGUGCACUUAUUGGCAUUUUUCUUUCUGUCUUUUUUUUUUUUUUCCCCCCCACAGUUGCUUCUAUUUAUUUUUUUAGGGAUUCACUUGCUCUCCCUCGAUCAUUGGAGUUGGGGCAACUCCAAGGUAGCGCAUAUAAUGUAGCUUUCAGACAAAUGAGGAUUCCUGAAAGUCCCACUGUGGGGAAUAGAGUUAAAUAAUACAGCCACUUUUGAAAAAAUUGUCCUCAAAAUUGAAGUGUAUUUCCAAACUCAGUGCACCACAGUGCCAAGGUGUUCUUGUGCCUGUAUUCAAGUUCAAAUUUAAUCAAUCCGAAGGUACCUGAUUUGUUUUUAGCUGAUAGUUCCAAAAUUUGGAUUAUUUUCAUCUCCUACAUCAAUCAGUCAGUAGAAUUUCCUGAGGGCAUCUGAGCUCCCCUUCCUGCAUUGCUGGUCUCUGUACAUCCCCUGGGACUGUGCUCAGCUACACCUGUAGCUCCCACAGCGCAAGCAUCAGCCAGGUUUGUUUCGGUCUCCUUUCAUUUCACUAGGAUGCGGGAGGCAGAAGGCUCAGCCACACGAGACAGGAGGGACUGCAGCUUGUGGCAGAACCCAGGCUGGAUAUGAACGUUUACUGCAAGAAUCAGAUUAACUCAGUAAACAUUAGAUGCAAGGAGUAUUUGCAGUUACUUUUUACAGUAUAGUGUAUUUCAUGGUGGCUGAUGUACCACGAUCUUGAAAGAUUUUAGGCUAUACCUCCUUAAGCCACAUUCAUCCAUGAUGCAUCUUAAUGUCACCCUUUGAAUACUGUGGCUUAUGUUUUCACCAGAAUCGUGCUUCAGAGAUGUUUUCGAUUGCAGUUGAUGUAAGGUCUGAGAGUAACAGAUGGAACUUAGAACACUUUUCAGGUUUAGCUGGAUUAAAGAUACCAGAUAACAUGGAAUACACUCAUUUAAUACUUAACAUCUUGAAAUUCAUCUCCUUAUUCCACUUAAAGCUGUUGCUUAAAAUACAGUUUAUAUAAGCCAGAAUUUAGGAGAGUGAAUACAUCAGCUAUUUCUGUUUCUUUACAUAUUUAAAUGGAAAUUGUCAAGAAUACACCAAGUUAGGCAGGCAACCGUCCUCCACUGAAGGCAUUUGCUCUGUCAGGAGAUCUUCCUUCUGCUAGAUGAGAUGCUUAUAUUAAGGCUUAUUCAUGGAUAAGAUCUUGUAUCCUACGAUAUUAAUACCUCUUAAGAUAACUGACUGGCUGGUGCCCGUACAGUCUGUUCAGUCUGUGUCAGAGAGCCUGUCCAGGACAAUUCAUCUUCACUGCUGAGAGCAACUUACAGUCUUGGAAGUCCUUCCUCUACCUUAACAACAAGAGAAGAUGUACAGGGAGAAAGCAAAAUGCAAAAAAUCCCUAUGAAACACAGCCCUCCGAUCCUAUCUUGCUGGAGUGUAUAGGAGAAAAAGAAAAAAAAGAAAAAAAAAAAAGUCUUUUAUAACUUCUGCGUUAUAAAAUUCUGCUAAUGAGCCGGGCUGCGCUGCCUGACCACCUCAGCUUAAGGGAAGCACUGAGCGGUGUCGUUACUACCUGAGCAACCGUGCCCCAUCUCAGCAGACAGAUAGUGUCCGAGCCCCACGCCGAAACCACCGACGAGCUGUGCUCACAGCACGGGCUGAAGAUCAAAUGCUGCUGCUGCAAACGCAGCUGCUCUUUACAUGCACCAGCAAAAGCUCCUCUGCAGAGCCGGGAGAGUUCAAAAGACUGAGCUCACUUCACAAGCCCAGAAAUAUCGAUUUUCGUGUGAGAUAGUGAUAGGGCUCUUGACAUGCCUAACUCAAAGAAGAAUUGCAACAUUAUCCCGGAACACGAGAACAUGGCUUCCCAAAACAACCAAAAGCCACCUAAUGAGAUUAUUUCCCCAGCUCCAAGGAAGCGCGAGACAACCUACCAGGGCCUUUGCUGGCCAGAGGCAGCAAACUUGGGAUGCGCUCCCACAUCCUGCGGCACGGGGCUGGCGAAGGAUGGCAGCACACAACCAGGACAUUUUGCAAGGGUGAAAUGCUCUACGUGUUGUGGGACAUCAGGAAGUCUGAGCAGAGCCCGGCACUCGCAGGGGGCUGCCCUGAGCACUCUCCAGUUCCCCCCACUUUGGCUGGAGCAGAGCCUUGGAGGCAUCCAUCCACACUGCCUGAACAGCCUUUACGUUUUGCUGUUAUUUUAGAACAGGUGGGAGGUGAUGGAUUCCCCCAGACAGUUCUCCUUUCUGAGUGUCACAUCUUCACACAAAUGCGCACCAUCAGUCCUCCAGCCUGGGGUGCCUGUGAUGCACUGAAAUAAUGUGCUCCAAGGAAGAGGAUAAUCUCCUACACUGUGGAUAUCUUGCUACUCCAGUGUUCUCAUGUCCUGGCAGCGACUGGCAAUAGAAUAAGUUACUGAGGAAUUAUUUGACAUCUUUGUGAAUUUGGUGCUCCAGUUGGAGACAGUCUGCUGCGUGCUGAGACGAGAUGCACAGAAUGGCUGAGAACUGCUAAAAUAUGAGCUUCCUUCAGAACUUACCUGGUGCUAUGCAGCUUUUACUGCACAACAUGCAUUUUAUAUAUCUGUCUAAUGAAAAACCUUUUGAAAAGAGCAUGUUUCAGUUUUUAGAGUGAUUAUUUGUGUUUUUUAUUGUCCACAUAUAUAUGAAAUUCUUUGGAGAAGGUAAGUGUAGUUCCUACAGAAUCAGUCUUCUGCGGUGAGCAUACAGCACAGAAAGCAAGUAUGGCAGAGCAGGAGGUUUGUCGUACGACUUUGUUAUAGCACGUAUGUAUAUAUACACAUACAGUAUAUAUGUUUGAAAGACUCAGUGACUCACACAGCCCUUUCUGUUGCUCCCCUGCUGUGUUUCAAGCACCCACCUGCAGUGUGAAUAACUCCAUGAAUGACUGUUACUAUAACUGUAAGUUUGGGUCACUGGGUUUGUGACAUGUAAGACCUAUUUUCAAUCUCUUAUAGGUAAUAAUUAUUUUAUAUGGUAUAAAAAAGAAUUGUGAGGCUUGCUUCCUAUGUUUAUAUGAUGUAUGAAAUUCUUGUGUAGACUGGCCACUAUGACAAAACAUUAUGAAUCACUUCAUUUACUGAUGAAAUGGAGAUCCUCAUGGUUAAUGACAAAAACAGAGGAGAAAGAAGAUUGUACCUGCCAGA